rnacentral:rRNA from 1 species
CCUACGGGGGGCAGCAGUGGGGAAUAUUGCACAAUGGGCGAAAGCCUGAUGCAGCAACGCCGCGUGAAGGAAGACGGUUUUCGGAUUGUAAACUUCUGUUCUUAGUGAAGAAUAAUGACGGUAACUAAGGAGCAAGCCACGGCUAACUACGUGCCAGCAGCCGCGGUAAUACGUAGGUGGCAAGCGUUGUCCGGAAUUACUGGGUGUAAAGGGAGCGUAGGCGGGAAGCCAAGUCAGCUGUGAAAACUACGGGCUUAACCUGUAGACUGCAGUUGAAACUGGCUUUCUUGAGUGAAGUAGGGGUUGGCGGAAUGCCGAGUGUAGCGGUGAGAUGUGGAGAGAGUCGGAGGAACACCGGUGGCGAAGGCGGCCAACUGGGCUUUAACUGACGCUGAGGCUCGAAAGUGUGGGGAGCAAACAGGAUUAGAUACCCGAGUAGUC